rnacentral:sRNA from 1 species
AAUUUUCUUCACGUUUAAAGCUUUUAACUAACAUUGAUUAUCAGCUGUUUUGUACGGAAAAUGUGGAAUCUAAAUAAUAUACCGUUUCCCUGCUCAGCUGCUAUUGGCAAUACAAUUUUGUCAUGUCAUCUGCAACAGACGAUCAUACAUAUGUGGCGGAUUAUCGAUGUAGAUACAGCUAGGUAGCAAUAGCAGUGGAAGCCCGGAUUUGCAAGCCAAAAUGAGGGAAAGACAGAAUUCUGAAAAGGAGCAUGUAUUUCAUUUCCACACAUGCAUGUGUAUCACUAUGGACAUCUAAUGUUUUUGUGUGAUUUUGUCCAGCAGUUUGCCUUAAAAGAAUCUUUUUAUAUUUUAGUUUCAUAUUUAUGUGGAUUCCAAUAAAAAUCAUACAAACUUC